GACAGGAAGCAUGGCAGCAACCAGGCAGACAUGGUGCUGGAGGAGCUGAGAGUUCUGCAUCUUGUUCUGAAGGCAGUCAGAAGAAGACUAGCAUCAUCAGGCAACUAGGAGGAGGGUCUCACAGUGGAUGGAACCUGAGCAUAGGAGAAAGUCUCCCAAAACCACCACCAUGGGGGUAUACUUCCUCCAACUGAGCCACGCUUCCUAACAGUAUCCCCUCUCUACGCGCAUUUUCAAACCAACACAAUUAUUUUAUGUGUGUGGUAUUUUGUCCUUGCACCAUAUGAGUGCAAUGCCUGCAGGGAGCAGAGAAUACCAAUCCCCUCGAAUUGUACUUACAGACAACUAGAAGCUGCCAUGUAGGUACUGGGAAUUGAGCCCUGGUCCUCUGGAAGAUGAAUUCGUGCUCUUAACUGCUGAGCCAUCUCUCCAGCUGUAUUUGGAUUUCUACAAACAAUGCAUAAGGGUUUCUUCAGUCAUAUCCUAGGAAACAUCUUUUUGUCAAGCAAAAAGAAUGAAAACAGGCAAAUGGAUGGAACUAGAAAAUAUCAUCCUGAGUGAGGUAACCCAGUCACAAAGGAACACACAUGGUAUGCACUCACUGAUAAGUGGAUAUUAGAACGAAGGCUUGGGAUACCCACUAUGUAACUCACAGACCCCAUGAAGCUCAAGAAGAAGGAAGACCAAAGUGUGGAUGCUUCAGUCUUACUUAGAAGAGGGAACAAAAUAAUCAUGGAAGGAAAUGCAGGGGUAAAGAGUGGAACAGAGACCGGAGGAUAGGCCAUCCAGACACUUCCCCACGUAUGGAUCCAUCCCAUCUGCAGACAACAAACCCAGACACUAUUGCUGAUGUCAAGAAGCACUUGCUAACAGGAGCCUGGUAUAGCGGUCACAUGAAAGGCUCUGCCAUAUCCUGACCAAUACAGAUGAAGAAGCUCCAGCCAACCAUUGGACUGAGCACAGGGACACCA